rnacentral:tRNA from 1 species
UCUCUGGUGGUCCAGUGGUUAGGACUUGGCCCUUUCACUGCCAGGGCCCACGUUCGAUCCCUGGUCCAAGAA